rnacentral:miRNA from 1 species
CCUCGAACUCUACAUGGCGCCA